rnacentral:rRNA from 1 species
AAGAUGCCGUCUGUCCGCAGCAGGACGAAAAGACCCCGUGGAGCUUUACUACAGUUUGGCAUUGAGCCAGGGGUAUACAUGUGUAGGAUAGCUGGGAGACCGUGAAGCCCGGGCGCUAGCUCGGGUGGAGUCACCGGUGAAAUACCAGCCUUGUAUACCUUUGGCCCUUAGCUGGGCCCUGAU